rnacentral:lncRNA from 1 species
AUGAAGAUGAACUUUGUUGAUUUGUUUAAAUUGCUUUUGUUUGUUUUAAGGAGUGAUCUGAGGUUUCAAAAUGUACGGACACAACCAAGGAAACCAGUACCCUCCUGGUUACCCAAACCAUCCUCAGCAGAUGCCAGCAGGAUACCCUCAUCCUCCAGGCUCUGUCCCACCACCAAACUACCCUCCUCAACACGGAGGCCAACACGGACCUGGACCUGGUUAUGGACCUGGACCUGGACCUGGUUAUGGACCUGGACCUGGUUAUGGACCUGGACCUGGACCUGGACAGGGCCACGGACCUGGACAGGGCCACGGACCUGGACCUGGACAGGGUCAUGGACAAGGCCAGGGCCACGGACACGGAGAGGGCCACGGACACGGCCAGUGCCACGGACAUGGAGAGGGCCACGGACACGGCCAGGGCCACGGACACGGAGAGGGCCACGGACACGGAGAGGGCCACGGACACGGCCAGGGCCAUGGACACGGAGAGGGCCACGGACAUGGGCACAAGCACAAGGAUGGUCACAAGCACAAGGAUGGUCACAAGCAUGGCAAGUGUCACAAGAAAGGAAAGGACUGUCACGGGUCCUGCAGCAGCUCCUGCAGCAGCGACUCUGACUAGAUGAAGAUUCCUGGAUAGGAGGAGAAACAAGACAAGUUGGCACCUGGACAUCUUCAUCCUUCCUAGCAUACAUUAUAAUCAAUAUGUUACUCCCUGAAUAUUUCUUCACAUAUCUUUUUUUUUUUUUUUUUAAAGGAUAUUUUUACAAAAAUGAACACCCAAACGUAAUCAAUCUCUGACUCUCUCCUGACAAACCUCCAGGAUCCAACAAUGCUGGGUGUUUGAAAAUGAGUUUAGAUCAGCCAUGCAAUGUAACAUGUCAUAGCUUCUGACACAUUACAGGCAUUAUUGUAUCCAUGAUUGUGUUUGUGCUCAUGUAAAAGUCACGACACAUGCCAGUAAAGUAACAAUACAAUGUCUUGCUUUUUCAUUUACUUUUGUCUCCAUUCUUCUUAAUAAACCUAUUUGCUACUCUGGCUAAAGUCCCCAAGGUGUGC